rnacentral:lncRNA from 1 species
AUUUUCCUUUUCCUGUAACUGGCCGUAUUCGCCUUAUCUGCAAUGUUUUAUCAUGAUAUAGCAAGGGUGAGCAUGAAAGUUGCCCAGCAAGUUUAAAAACAAUGCAAAGAUAUAUCAUGAUGGAAAGAGUUUGAAUAAUAAGCUGACUAUCCUUCACAAUGUAUUUGUGAAUUAGCAUGAACAAAGUUUUGACUGAACAAGUAUUUAACAGGAAUAACAAUAUAUCUGGACCAACUGGUAAUGAAGGUGAUCAGCCUUUCAUACCCGACUUAUACAUACAAGAUGUACAGAGUACAAUUCAUAAGCAUAUCUGUCUGAAACCACUCUUAAAAGAGUUUAAGUAAAAAGAACUUGAAAAACUUGCCUGAACCGUUGAUUACCGUAACGCAAUAUAAUACGCUUCUCCUGAAGACCUAAUAUUAAUAAUAUAGAUCUCCAAUAUUAGAAUAAUAUCAUCAUUGUUAUAAAAUAACUUAAACAUAUUUCCACAUACUCCUAUCAGUCUAUACAGCAUAUAAAACCUAUAAUAGAUCUUUCGGUUAGUCAUAACAUAUAGUUAAGUAUUAGACAUUAGUUUUAAGUCUUAAUAUUAUUAUUAUACUUUGAUAUUCUUUUAAUCACAUCAUAACUUAUACUUAUAAGUUAUUCAUUUUUAUAUGUUAUCCUAGUAAAUUAGAUAACAUCUUAGUAAACCGAAAUACCAUUUCAGUAAGACGGAUUUUAUUUCAGUAUCCCGAAAUCACUAUUCUUUUUCACGAAAAAUACCAAAUCAACUUAUUAUUUUUUUAUCCUUUGGUCAAACAUAUAUACAUGUAUUUCAUACAUAAAAAAUAUUUUUCCGUAAUUUUUCAAUUUCUUUUACUAUUUUUCAAAAAUCAUAAUUAGUGCGUGACUUAAGAAAAUUAGCUACCUCGUGCUUAACUCCAGAGAUGCCCAUCUUUUGACAUAACCUUAUAUAUGUUAACGUGAUGCUCCAUUUUAAAUUUCGUGGCAAUCGGAGUUGUAGAACUCCGGUUAUAGCGAUUUCCGUCGGAAAAUCACAAAAAUUGAAAUGGUCAUAACUUGGUCGUUUUAAGCCGGAAUUAGCUCAUUUUUGGACACGAGCUACAUAUUACCAUAUAUUUUCAUUUCCCAAAAGCCUGUAAUUUUUCUCAUUAACUAAAUGUCCAAAACAGCCCUCGGAAAAUUUUGGCCAGAAACUUUUUGCACUUUGGCAGUUUUGGAGUCCUUCACCAAAACUUAAAUAAAACGAAAUCUGUAACUCCGAUUAAUGAUCCGUCAAUUUUGUUGGAUUCGUAUCUUUCCGAACUACAGUUUUCAUAUAUCACAAUCCAUAUUUGGAUAUGUUUAGCUCCCGGAAUUUAGCCCGGAAGUGACUGUUCCAAAACUGUCCUUUUCACAGUUUUCUUAACUUUGUGUAGUUUGGGAGAAAUCCCAUAACUCCCUCCUCCGAUGUCGGAUUUAGUCCGUUUUGGAGUCUAUGGAAAGCUUAUUGAGUGUACUAUAACAUAUCACAAGUCCAGAAUUUUUAGAGCACUCUAACAAAUCCGAAAUUUUCUGUUUUAGGGCAGCAGUCCACUAACUCAUUUAAAACAAAAAAAACUGUUUUGGUUAUUCUUCUUUGUUCAAGCCUAUCAACCCUAAAAAUGGCAAGAUCUAACCAUAAAAUAUCAUUUAUCAUGUAGAUCUAUAGUUCUCAUGUUCAAGAUCUUAAACUUAUGGUUCAAAAUCAUAAGUUCAACACUUGAUCUAAAACACCAUAUCAAAACACUUUAACUAACAAGAGUUUUGAGUUUAGGAAAUUUUUACCUUUAGCUUCAUGACAUAUCUUUUUCUUCCAACUAUGUGAUGGAUCUUGGAUGGAAUGAAAAAUCAAAAUCUCUUCUCCUUCUUUCUUGGAGUUUCCUAACUCCCCUCUCCCUCUCUCUCUUGUCUCUCUCUUUCUUUCUUAGUUAUGUUGGAAAAUAAGAUGAGAAAAGUGAAGAAUAUGAUUUUUGUUUAGUGUAAUAAUGUAAGAAAUGUAUCUAGACAUUAGUUUGCUUGAUAAUUGAGGUGUAAUAGCAUAGUAACAUGAGUGACUUCUAGAAGCAAUUGAUUAGCUAGCAUAAUUGAAGAUUCUUAUCAACAAUGUUACUAAUAAUACACUAAUAAAACAAAAGGGUAUACUAGUAAUUUCCACAUUAAUAAAUGAUUUCUUUUUAAUUCUUAUUUAUUAUACCAAAUGUCCAAUAUGUCCCUCCUUAUUUGGGCUUAAAUUUGGGUCACCAUUUCCAUCUUUUGGGCUAUCAAUAAAUAAUAUAUUGGACUUAAAAUUUAAUUCUUUGGGCCAUGUAAAUUAACAUAGUCCAACACUCUUAAUUCUUAUCCAACCCAAAUCAUUUAAUUAGGGUUUUCAUUUUCCUCAAUUAUAACUUAAAUCCUUACUCAUGCACAUUUAUUUCCUUAACCCAAUUAGACUUGCUAAAAUUAGGUUAUAAAAUUAAUUAACUGAGAUGUAUAAAAUAAAUCUCUCAUAAUUGGUAUAUAUUCUAAAUACCAUAAUUUUCUCAUCUCAUAACCCUUAAGUUAUUAAAUUCUUCAUUCCUAAUAUAUAAUUAGGAUCACAUUAGUUUCUUUUAUUUGUUUAUAUAAUAAACAAUAUAAACCAUCACAUAAUCUUCAUAUUCCUUUACUCACCUAUUCGAACAAAAUAAUUUAAUAAAUUGUGACAUGUUCCACAAUUCUCUUAAAUUAGGUCACUAAUAUAAAAAUAAAAUAUUAGGACCACUAAAUAACGAUAACCAUUUAGGUUAUUUAAUUAUCACACCUAAUAUAUAUAUUAGGUUACAUAAUUUAAUUCUUACUUCACUUUUAUAUACAAAAUAAAUGUAUUCACAUUAUAUAAUGUAUAUUUAUUUAAUCAUACACAUAAUUCAUAUUCAUUACACACAUAACUUUUAAUCCCUUAGGGUUUUAUACAAAACAUUAGGAUUUCUAAUUUAACAAUUAGGGUUAUCCCUAAUAUAUAAUCACAAAUACUUAAGCCAUUAUAUUUAGCCUUUGACUUCCCAAAUUAGGGUUUCAAAUACUGAAUUAGGAUUUCGGAUUCCCGGUACUGAAAUUAGGGUUUCCAGAACCGAUUUCUAGGGUUUCUUAUAAAUCGUAAUAAUUUUAUAACUGAACGUUGACGUUCUAAUAAUAUUAGGGUUUGACACAGAUAUAAUUUAUCUGGUCAACACUUGACCCUUAACCACAUUCUGUACACAUAAUACCGUAAUCACAGAAUAUAUACACACAUACCCUUAAUCCUGAAUAAUUCACUAAAAGAAAUUUUAAAUCCUCAAAAUUCCUUUCUGAAAACAUCAAAUACAUACACUUAUUCUCUGUCUAGCUCUAUUAUUUGACCUUAAACCAAUCAUUUAAGAUUUUAAUAAUUUUCUAAUUUCUCGGAUUGUCACAAUGGGUACCGGUAGUGGCCGAGAUAAGAGAGGAGAUUUUACACGAGGCUCAUAAUACGACGUAUUCCAUUCAUCUGGGAGGCACAAAGAUGUACCGAGACUUGAAGCAACAUUUUUGGUGGCCAAAUCUGAAACGGGAAAUUAUGGAGUACGUUAGCAGAUGUCUUGCGUGUCAAGGUGUAAAAGUAGAGCAUCAGUGACCGAGUGGUUCACUACAACCGUUGGAAAUACCAGAGUAGAAAUGGGAGCAUAUUACGAUGGAUUUCGUGGUAGGACUUCCGGUCACACAAAAAGGUUUGGAUGCCAUCUGGGUCAUCGUGGAUCGACUUACGAAGACUGCACAUUUUCUACCUAUCAAGAUCCGCUAUAGUUUAAAUCAAUUAGCAAGUAUGUACGUAAAAGAAAUUGUUUCACGACAUGGAGUGCCGGUAUCGAUUGUUUCUGACCGAGACCCGCGUUUCACAUCAAAAUUCUGGAAAAGCUUACAAGAGAGGAUGGGAACACAUUUAAGAUUGAGUACUGCUUAUCAUCCUCAGACGGACAGACAAAGUGAACGAACUAUACAAACGCUAGAGGACAUGCUUAGGACCUGUGUGAUGGACUUAAAGGGAAAUUGGGACGACCACUUACCCUUGGUCGAAUUUGCGUAUAAUAAUAGUUACCAUGCGAGUAUCGACAUGCCACCGUAUAAAGCUCUUUACGGAAGGAAGUGCAGAACGCCGUUAUGUUGGGACGAAGUCGGAGAACGACGAGUACUUGGGCCAGAGUUAGUACAACAGACUACAGAUGUGGUGAAAGUGAUAAGGGCCAAACUUGUAGCAGCUCAAGAUCGCCAGAAGAAGUACGUAGACUUGUAUCGGCAAGACCGAGACUUUGAAGUCGACAGUUUUGUAUUCUUGAAGGUAUCUCCAUGGAAGGGAAAAAUCCGUUUCGGCAAGAAAGGAAAACUGAGUCAAAAAUUCAUAGGAUCGUUCGAGAUACUACAACGAGUGGGUGAAGUAGCGUACAAAGUUGCACUACCACCUAAGUUGGAGCACAUCCAUAACGUGUUUCACAUAUCCGUGUUGUGUCCGUACAAGCCUGACUACAAGUACGCGAUUUCUUAUGAACCCACUCAAGUGGAGAAGAAUUUAGCGUACGAAGAAAUUCCUGUCCAAAUUCUAGAUAGCAAAGAGCAAACCUUAAAGAAUAAAGUUAUUUCUUCUGUAAAAGUACUUUGGCGUAACCAUGAUGUCGAGGAGGCAACGUGGGAGUUAGAAGAUAGAAUGAUGAGGGAUUAUCUCCAUCUGUUUGUGUAACCUUGUAGCAAUUCCCGAGAAUACCCGAGAAUACCCGAGAAUUUUCGCAUAUUAUUAAAUAAAUAUGUUAAUGAAAAUAAAUAUUUAUUUGAUUAUGAACAAUUUCGUAUUAUGAAAUGAGAUAACUCAAUCAUAAUAAAUGAAUAAUUGAGAAUACGUGGAGUUUGUGGUAAACUCGUUGAAAGCCUUGUGUGGCAUGUUGAUGGAAAUUCAAAUAGUAAUGAUAAGCGGCGAAGAAAUUGGGAGAUGAGCAAUUAAGUAAUAUUAAUUGUUAAGUGUUGUUGUAGUAUGUUUAUGGAUUUUUAAUUGAUAUUAAUAAGGUUGGUUAAUAUGUGAUUAUUAAUUAUUAUUUAAUUGAUAAUGUUUGUGGUGGAAUAUUGAUUUCUUAGCAAUUAUUAAUAAUAGGUGAUUAUUAUAUGGAUAAGUAAUGAUUAUGGAAAACCCAUAAAUGGGUGGAUUAAUUAAUAUUGAUGUUAAUUAAUUAAGGAAGUGCAUGGUUAAUUUAUUUAACAUAAGUGAGUAAGUUAGUAAUAUAAUAAUAUUAUAUUGAUAGUUAUGUGCAUGUGAAAAAUUAUACAAAAAUAACUAUAUGGUGCAGUGUGACAUUUAUGUGGCUAUAUAUAUUAAGUCUUAUAAAACUAUAUUGCUUGGACAUUGUAAUUAAACAUAUUGAAACUAUGUGUUAUAAAUAUAUUAUCUAUGUGCCAAUAUGUAUAUGGGCAUGUAUGGAAAUUAUAUACCAUGAACUAUUGAAGUAUACCAGUGUGAUAAAAUGUACAUAGAUUAUAUGUUUAUUACAUUUCCAUAUUCUAUCUACUACAUUGAAACCUUAAUUAUUAAGUAUGAUAUUUAAUUAUAAUAUAUGGUUGAGAUGUGUAUUAAAAAUAUAACAUAAGAGUGUGGAUGUGUAGGAGUAUACAAGAAUGCUAGUUAAUUUGUUUGUCCCAAAUUGAUAGUCCCAUUUUACUCUCAUUUCCCAUUCACGUGCAUUUCAUAAAGGCUAAGGCCUAUGUUUUUCAUAUUUUCUUCCAAGCUUGCUAGGCAUGAUCAUGGGGGGAGUGGUACUCAUGAUGAAAUCCAACAACUAAUUACCAACUCCUUCUUAUACAUCAUGCAAUCCCUCAACCCAUGAGUUUGAUUUCUUGGACAAUGGCUUGGCAUGGUCAAAGAAUUCUCUAUAAAUUGGACACUUCUCUUCAUUAUCUAUGUUGCUUGAAUUGUCUGAUAAUUUGUUAAGUGAGAGAUUGAGAGCAUAAAAGUGUGCUAGAGCUUAGAAGUUCAUUUGGAGCAAGUCUUCAUCACAGUGCAGAGGUAUAAACUCUUUUCCUUGUUACCAUUUUCAUUCUCUGUAAAAAUGGAGUUUUGGUCUUGAAAUUCAAAUUCUUGAAUUCAUGGAAUUGUAUGUUAAUGAGGCUGGGUAAUGUCCAUAUAGAUGUUAUAUGAUCACAUACGCUCGUUGCAAUCGGUUUAUAAGUGUUUAAAACCCAUUUGGUUAAUAAAUUUUGGGAUUUGGCUAGUCAGUUGCCGAAGCAGACUAUUCUGCGCCUGAACCAGGCACGGCGCAGCUGCGCCACAUUUGUAUUGAGGCGCAGCGCAGCUGCACCGGUUGCUGAACUCAGUUGAGCAAUUUGUUUUCAAAUUUGAUCAUGAGUAGCUAGUUGUUUUGACUUAAGCUAACAUGUGAACAUGUGUAUGAUGUAUAUUUGGAUAUGUUAACCUAAUGUGAGCAUGUUUUCAUAGACUUGCAUGAUUAAUGGAGACAUAUGGUUUAAAUGGAGAUUUGAACCUUAGAUUUUAAAAACCAACUAUGUUAAAGAUCAUGUUCCACAAAUUAUGAACCUAGCGAGCUAUGCAUGACUGAUUUUGCAAUAGAUGAGCAUGUUGUAGUGUACAUAGUCCAUUGAGCAUGAUAAAACUUGUUAAGCCUUAUGUUAGGAAUAUUUUCAAGGAAAGACUUAGCCUAGUAUGCUAACUUGUAUAAUUUCUACAUGUGGUAUAUUCUAACUUUGCAAAGCAUGUUAAUGUGACUUAGACAUGCAUGAAUAAACCUUUAGCUUAUGCUUAAGUGAUUAGAAAAGAAGCAUGAACAUGUUGUAUACUUUACAAAUGAAAAUAUGACCUUUGAAUAGGAAUAUUAUCAUGUUACGUUGAGGACUAGAAUCUGACAUUUGUGAUCAUAUUUAAUGACUCUCUUAGACUAACUCAUGUAGUGUAACCAUGGAUAUACAAUGCUUGUAUGUUAUAUUUCAAUAAAAGCAUGAACAAAGUAUAUUUUCAACUAAAGAGUUGAUUAGUUUCACGUAUGUGUUACUAAUACACACAAGCAUGUAUAAUAUGAGUGUUGUAACUAACUUGUAUGAUUUAGAAAGCAAGCAUGCUAGACUUUAUGGUUUCAUGACCUUAAUUUGUUGAAAUGAUCGAACUUAGAACCAUGAUAUGCAAGAAAGGGCCUAGAUUGAUCUAAGAAGCAUGUGAAAGCCUUUAACAUGUCAAAAUACAUUAAUUAUGAGUGUGCGUUCGAGACCGGACAGAACCCACAAGGCAGCAGCUGAGUCUUAGCAGGGUCAGGGAAUGGCGCAGCUGCGCCGGUCCUAGGCCUAGCCAUGGCGUAGCUGCGCCAGUCUGGAAUCCCAGAAAAUGAAUUCUGAUCUUUUGGACAGUAACUUACAUGAUACUUAUGAUGCUAACUGUGAUCUAAAACCUACUGAUGUACAUAUAUAUGUGUUAUUCUUAGUUGAUAAGUUGGUGUUGCGUUGAAAUAAAAAGUCCAUGAGUAGAGGAGGUCCUAACCUUGAGCAUUUUUGAUUUGUUUAUAAAAUGACUAAGUGUUUGGUUCAUGAUUACUUAUAAACUGGUUUUGGUACCAUGUGUGCAUACUUUUAUCGUGUCAAGCUUGAUUAAAGACUGUGUUAGCUAAUUAACAUCUUGAACAUAUAAUGCGUUAUAAAUAGGAUUCGAAAGUGUUGAUUUAUUAACGUGGAUAAACUACGCUUAAGGCAAGUUCCCUAAACUUACUCUAAUUAUUAUUGAACAAGUUUCCUUGAACCUUACUUUUAUUGAGCAAGUAUCUGAACCCUAUUAUUAUUGUGGUGCAAUAUCAUUGCAUUAUUUAUUCGACCAAUACUGUAAGCUUAUCCUUUUGAAUACAAGUUAGAUUACUUUGUUAAACCCUUGUGAAAGCUAUUAUUCAUGUUGAAAUUGGUAUUACCUUUGAAUAUUGUGAAAGAGUCGAUGCCAUUUGAUUCGGCUAGACUAUAUGCAUGUUUAUAAAAACUUUCCAAACCAAUUGAUUGGUGCGAAAAUCUUGAAAACUGAGUUGGACAACCCUUUUGGUAAGGGGAGUGUAUGUUGUUGGAAACCCCAACACAUGAAUAAAUAUUAUUGUGGUGUUAUGCAUAAUGUAAUGUAUUGUAGACUGAUCAUCUAUAGUACUUGAUAUUUUUGGUUAUCAGUUUUAUAUUGGUAACUCUAGUGGAAGUUCCAUAGUCCUUAGUGACUCCUCAGUAUAAAUUGCUUAUCCAGUUGGAUACAUUGUUAGCCGUUGAAUUCAUAUAUAUCUGUUGAUUUAUAUUGAAUUGUUAUAUCCCUUAUUCAUGAUGUUAUUCUGACACUUUGAAUUAUUCGAGAAAUAACCCUGUGAUAUUUUAAAUCUUGUGAUAUUAUAUCCUGCACCCUUGUUGUAUAUUACUUGCUGGGCAAUUUGUGCUCAUCCUUGCUUAUUUAAAACAUUUCAGUUAAGGAAGAACAUGGAUGUGUCUCUGGAGCAGACAAUGGCAAGGGAAAGGCUACCGACUAGCUUGUCCUUUUUAUGUUUAAAGCUAUUAUGUUAUGCUAAGACUAUUUGUGGACUAUGUUUAAACUUAAGUAGGAUUAUGUAAUAGGUCUUUAUUCGAUACUAUUAUGUAAUCUAUUAAGUACUGUAGGUUGCGAGACUUGGGGGAAUAAUUAUAAUAAAUCAUUGUAUAUUAUUGUAAAGUAUAUUUUUUGUUGUGUGCGCGUUAUUUUAGUUAUUAUGGUCUUACCAUGAGAACGUGAUGAACCGAAUUCGAGUGACCAAGUGAAGGUUCGAAUUUUGGGGCAUCACAUGUAUAAUCUAUUAUAUGUAGUUUAUAAAUGAUGUUGAAGUAAUCAAAUUCAUGGAAAUUGGGUUAUAAGAAGAAAAUUAAUGUAACAGUGUAUAUAUGUGUGAAAAUGGCGUAAUUGAGUCCAAACGUUAUGUUCAAUCCUUGUUAUAAUUUUUAAAUUGACUGUAGAUUGUGUUAAUACAUUCAGAAAUGAAAACAACGCAAUUGAAAUGGUGUAAUUUGGUUAAGAAACAAAGAUUUGGCGAUUCAAUUCGCUAAAUGUGUUGAAAUAUGAAGAAAUUAGUAAAAACAUGAUUUUUGAUCCUCAAAAGUUGAUUUUAUAUAAUGUUUAUAUUGGUAGAAUUAUGAAAUGCAUGCUUGGUGUUGUUGUUAACAAAAUUCUAGUUUUUGGGUUUGUGAAUUUCUGUAGAAAUUGGGAAUUGGAGUGUUGGUUUGUUACAAGGCUGAAGCUACAACAGUUUCUAUCUGUGUACUGGCGCAGCUGCACCAGUACCAAAGGUAGAAACGGCGUAGCUGCACCUGUUGGGUUUCUGAGGUAGUGCACUAGCGUAGCUGCGUCGGUGCCAAGGCUUGGGGCAGCGCAGCUGCACCGUACCCUAAGCAAAGACAAUAUGUUUUAUUAAUUGCAGUUUAUUAUAUUUUGAAUCAACCUAGCCUUGUAUGCAUGAUAAGAUGUUAAUCAUAUUAUAAGAUAUAAUAACAGAAUUUAAUAUAAUGUAAUACCAAAAAUAAAGAUUUGUAAGUAAUUACUUCACAAGUUAUAUAAUGAUUAAAAGUUGAUGUUUGUAAAAGGUAGAGAGGAGAAUUGAAUGCUAAAGCUUUACGUUAUAUAAUAGUGAGUUUUCAGAUUCGUGUUGCGUGGCUAACCAAUAUUGUUAGACCUUAUGUUAAAGGAUAUGAGAAUUGAACCUAUAAGGUUAAUGAUAGUAUAGCUAAUAAAUGAUAUAACUCUAAUGGUAUAUGUAGGGUGUUUGGCGAACGUUUAUUAGACUUCUGUAGCUUACGUAUUAGGGAAGUUUCCUAACUUCAUAUUUUUAUAAUAAAUGCAAGUUUCAUAACUAUAUUUACCUUUUGUUAUCAAGCAAGUUCUCUAACUCAAAUAUUUCAUUAUGUAAGUUUAUUGAUUCCAUCUCGUGUAUGAUUAUGCAAGCUCUUGUAUUCUAAUUCUUUACAUUGAGCGAGUUUCAUAUUCCUAACUUUUGUUUCUUGUUAUUCAAAGCAUAAACUACUCAAGAACAUUGACCCAAAUGAAUUCUAUAACUCUUUUGGAUGUAAUACUUUGUUUAUACUAUGUCUAUUCAAUUGUAUAUUGUUAAUAUUUAAUCUUUGACUUAAGUAUCGUUGUUCAAUCUUGUAUUAUCGCGUUGAACCUUCGAAUAGCAAACAAACAUUUAUUGAUUGGACUAGUCUAUAUUUGAUAAGUGUUUUAAAAUUCUAGAAUCACUAAUAAGCUAGUUCCAAACUAAACUUUCUUUAGAAUGGAAAUCCUAAAGUCAAACUGAGAAGAACAACCCUAAUAUAGGGGAUUAUGUACGCGUUAGUGUUUAGAUGUUUGUGCACAAUACAUGGUACGAAGGGCUGAUCCCCCUAAGUACGUAAGGAAGAGUCUGUAUAGUCUACACGACUGUUAAGGUUGAGGUAAAAAUACCUAAUUACCAGGGACAUAGUUCAUGGUCUUAAGACCCUCAAAUAUAAAUCUUGAACUUGUUUUCUAUUCUUGAUUCAUAAAACAAGUUCUCUACUAUUCAAUAUUCAUGUUUACCCUUAUGUUGCUGCUAUUAUCAUUCUUUAUAUUAGUGAGCAAUUGUUUGCUCACUUUUGCAUUUAACACUGCAGCUAAAGUUGAGAAAGUUGAUGAACCAUCUUCUAGCAAAGGCCAGGGCAAGAUGUCCAAAUGAUGCAGAUCUAUUAGGUUUAUUUAAUAUAAUUUUGUUAUAAGAUUUAUUAUAUUUUGUGAUGUAUUCUGUAGACUUAUGUAAUACUUUAAGGUUAUAUUACAUGGGAUUGUUUAAAGUUGAUGUAACCCUUUAAUGAGGAAGAUUAUUGUUUAAGCUAACUAAGUUAUGUCUUUAUCAUUGAUUAUGGGUUGUUAGAUAUAAAUAUUAUGGAUAGUGAGCACCAAAUCCCGUUGGAAUGAAGAACCCGGAUUUGGGGGUGUCACAAUAUAAACACAUAAAGACAAAGUUUAGAACACAUUUGGUUUCCCAAACUUGUUAACGUUGAGGUUAACUUCUAAAACUUCUAGUUUUCUUUUGAAUUCAUUUUCUCACUAGGAUUAACAUGUUUAAUAGUUUAUGGACCAAGUUGAACACCAUCUUAGGUAUCUAAAACAAACUUUUGAGAUAAAACUAGAAUCAAACACACAACUUCCUUUCCAAAUUUCUUUAAUAGAGGCUAAAUAGGUUUAUUUAACAAGGGACCCGCCAUUUUAACCAUUAAGUCACAUAACGAUACUAAACAAUCCUUAAUACGCAUUCUUUUGUAUAUCAAACUCAUUUACACAUAAUUAGUAUAGUCUUUCAUCUAAACAUGCUUGAAUAGCUUACUUCCUUAACUAAUUGGAUGCACAUAUCACUCAUGCUUAAAUGCAUAACAAGUACUAUCAUGCUUGCUCAUAAGGUUAUAAUGCAUUUAAUACACUGCUCAUCAAAAUAGUUUCUAAAACCUUUAAAUUUUCCUUUAAAAGACAUACUAAACCAAGCUUGACAACCUUUUAUAUGUAAUAUACAUUGAAACCACAUUUAUAAGACCCCAACUUUUAUGAAUAAGGAUUUAAUUUUCUUGAAGUAUCUUUUUGUAUAAUAAGGUGUGGAUUUAAUAUAAUGUUAUAGUUGAAGGUAAUAUUUACAAAUUUUACAAAGUAAGCAAGUUGUCAUAAAAUAUUCGUUUGGUCGGGGAAUAUUCAUUUUAUCAGGAAAUAUUCGUACGAAGGCACAAUCAUUGGUGGACCCCACAACAGAAUUACUGUUGGAGUUAAAAAACGACAGAAAUAACUUUUUUAUAAAAUAACGACAAAAGUUUUACCGUUAACUGUUGAAAUACCUGGUGAUAAAAGUAUAGUAAUACGCGUGGUUGCAUAGUAGAACACGGUAUUGUACAAUAUCUUUGAUUAUUGAUGUUUACGUGAGAAGUCACUCAGUUUUAUUCAAUUAUUGCCGCAAUAAUUGCUACAUAAUAUCUCACAUUAAUGAUUCAAUUAUUGUCAUAGUAUCAUCUGUAUAAUAUUUUAUAUUAUUAAAUCAAUAAUUGAGACAACAAUGUUAUACAUAUUAUUAUUUUGAUUAUUGACGAUGUCUAGAAAGUUCGGUCAAGGAAAGGGGUUUGGUCACCUAAUUGCGCGCCAAUAAGGAGAAGUCCUUAUCGGAAAGCCCCCUUUUUCUUGAGAAUGAUCUACUUGUUAAUAUUGCGAGUUAUAAUAUUAAUGAUGAAUAAAUGUUAUUAAAAAUGUGUUUAGUGAAGUCAAGUGAAUUGAGAUAAAUAAAAGGAUUUUUUUAUGAAGUAUUUGUUAUAAGUUUGGCUUAUUAUAUGGACCCCCCACUUACUCAUUUUUCAAAAUUGUUGGUAGAAAGUUAUCUCAGUUUGGUUUUAUUACUUAUAUAUAUAUAUAAAUAAGUUUUAUAAUAUAUAUAUAUAUAUAUAUAUAUAUAUAUAUAUAUNNNNNNNNNNNNNNNNNNNNNNNNNNNNNNNNNNNNNNNNNNNNNNNNNNNNNNNNNNNNNNNNNNNNNNNNNNNNNNNNNNNNNNNNNNNNNNNNNNNNNNNNNNNNNNNNNNNNNNNNNNNNNNNNNNNNNNNNNNNNNNNNNNNNNNNNNNNNNNNNNNNNNNNNNNNNNNNNNNNNNNNNNNNNNNNNNNNNNNNNNNNNNNNNNNNNNNNNNNNNNNNNNNNNNNNNNNNNNNNNNNNNNNNNNNNNNNNNNNNNNNNNNNNNNNNNNNNNNNNNNNNNNNNNNNNNNNNNNNNNNNNNNNNNNNNNNNNNNNNNNNNNNNNNNNNNNNNNNNNNNNNNNNNNNNNNNNNNNNNNNNNNNNNNNNNNNNNNNNNNNNNNNNNNNNNNNNNNNNNNNNNNNNNNNNNNNNNNNNNNNNNNNNNNNNNNNNNNNNNNNNNNNNNNNNNNNNNNNNNNNNNNNNNNNNNNNNNNNNNNNNNNNNNNNNNNNNNNNNNNUACGUGGAACAUUAUGCAAAGUGUCAUUAGCGAUUCUCAUAGUGACAAUGAUGUAAUGGUCCUCCGACCUGAAAUCACUAUAUUACUACACGGGAAUUUAUGUACUUUGAUAUCAUCAAAUGUCACCUUUAAUAGGGUGGACUAUAAAGAUGAUUAUUGGGUACAUCAUGAAUCAUGUGAGGAUUAUGUUCAAUGGGGAUUAUCUCUUCAUUGGCUACCUUAAUGUCUAAAGGUAUUGGUAACUUUUCAGGGAUUAAACCUAAUUGCUUAGCAAAUUCACAUACUAUAAAAGAACAAGUAGCACCCGAGUCAAAUAACACAUAAGCAUUUAUCUCAUUGACCGGAAUGAUACCUGCUACCAUAUCCGUUGAUGCAACCGCAUCUUGGACAGUCAUAUUAAACGUACGAGCUGAGGGUUUACCCACUGAUGGUGUUGGUCUAGUAAUGGCUAAUUUACCACUACCAGAAUUCUUAUUUCCCUCUAAACCCUUCUUCAGGCAAUUUCUUGCCAUGUGGUCUAAUAACCCACAGACAAAACACCCCUGGUUCUUCUUAGGGUUAGGACAGUUAGGUGACAAAUGCCCCUCCUGUCCACAGUUGAUCGAUUUCGCAAUCAAUGAAUACGUGCAAGUAUACACGGUCAACAAGUAAUAAAGUGAAAGUAGAGUAUCGUUCCCACCAGGAAUUAUUUAAUAAAAAUCACCAAGUACUAAUUCUUAACCAAACUAAUUUUAUUUAAACAAUCUCAAAUCGUGUUUUUUCUAAUUAAGAAAACUAAAUUAACUAAUUAAAACUAAGAUUUUAACGAAUGAAUUCAAAUAAAUAAAGAUUAAGACUUCAAUAUCCCCAAUUAUGAAUUAUAAAUCAAUUAUCCAAUUAUCCCAAUUAUUAUGCCUACUGAAUUGUUAACAGGAAUUCUCAAAUGCCAAAAGUCCUUUUCCAAGUGAUCAAUUGCCUUCUAUUUAAUCCAGAUUAAUCUUGCUAUAUUCCUAUGCAAAACAAUUGAAUUAAACUCUUUCCAAUCCCAAUUCCUUACGUGUUACAUGCGGCGAACAGAUAUUUCCAUUCAAUUCACAAACCUAAUUUUUCACCAUGCAAAUAACUAAGUCACAUGAUAUCAUGCCCAGUUCUAACCCUAGAAUUCCUCUUCCAAUUCCUUCUAGAGUAACAAAGUAAUUACUGAUCAAAUAAUUAAGCAAUAAGCACAAGACAAGAUAAACAACUCACUUUAACAUAAAUAAUUAGAAUAUAAUGAAUAACUAAUUCAUAGCCAUAAAAAGUUCAAUUGAAAUCUCAAAAAUAGUUAGUUCAUAAUUAAUGAAUUAAAACCAAGAAUCCACAACUGAAUAGACAUCAAAAGAUAAAAGUAAGAUGAGAGAAGAGAAUAGAAUCUGUUGUCAGCAAAUCUGAUGCUCCCCUCUUGCUCUUGCUCUUGAUCUUCAAUGGUCUCCAAGUUGCUUCAAUCUCCAAAACUAAUAAGAACUAGGGUUAUUUUCUAAUCUAAAGGAGUGUUUAAUCUAGGCUAAGCUAUGUAAUCUCCCUUUAUUUUAUGCCUUACAUCAUGUAUUUAUAGGUUACAAGUCCAAUUUUUAGUUUAGGAACAAACCCAAUCCUAUUUGGAGUCAAAAAGGUGUCAAAAUUCGCCCAAAACGCGUCCAGGCCGCACCAAACCCUUCCCCCAGCGCCCCAGCGCUGGGCAACGGCGCUGGAGUCUGCCCCCUAGCGCCCCGGCGCUGGAAAAUGCACUAAGAGUAGCGCCCCGGCGCUGGCCCAAAAUCCGACAUUUUCUGCUCCGACGUCCUUUGGGAAAAUGGCCAUAACUUCUUCGUCCGAACUCCGAUUUCGAUGAUUCAAGAUGUUCCGGAAAGAGGAGAAGUAGAUCUACAACUUUCAUUCUUUGAGUUUUUCGAAAUAAUGUCAGGAGCUAUAGUCAAAUUGGCUCUGAAGUGACUGCUGUGUAAAUGGCAAGCCGAAAACGCGAAUCUAGCCACCCCAAACAUCGAUCCAUGUAACUUUUGUCCCAAUUCCUAUAAAAUAACAUAAAACAUGCAUGAAUAGACACAAACACAUAAAAACAUCCUAAAAGACUUAAGAACAACAAUAAAUUAAGCCCGAAUGUAUCCAAUUCAUGGGUAUAAAACUCACUCAUCAAAUACCCCCAAACUUAAAUCUUUGCUUGUCCUCAAGCAAAAACACAAAAAUGUUAUGCAAUGCAAUGUAAUGAAACUAAUCUAUAUGCCUACGAAUCCAACAGUAAUGACAGAAACAAGUCUAUUCAACCGGCCUUAGAGAAAUCAAGUAAACAUGAUAAUACAUCAUAUUAAAACAAAUCAGUAAUUUCCCAAUCAAUCAUCAAAUCUUAGACUGUUAUCACUGAUAUAGUGCGUGUGUGCUCCACAACAAUGUUAACUGAUAUAAAAUCAAAUUUAAGACAUAAUAGAUAUCUUUGAAGGCAUCAUACAGUGCAAAUUCACAAAAUUCACGAACAAGCUAUAUCCAACUAAAGUCAAACAUCCACCAAGUUCAAGAGUCCAAUCUGGGAUACUUAUGCUUUACUUUUCAUUACGGGGGCUUUUUGCUCUUUUCCCGUUUUAUUGUUUUUUUUUUAACCAUAACUGUGCAAUGUCUCAUUCCAUUAGGCUAACAGUGUCACCCCUUAGCGAGCUUUCGACCAACGACUCCCAGACCAUAUAAGACCUUAGGGCGCUAGGUUUUAAGAUACCCCUUCGGGCGUACUUACUCAAGUAACAAAGGCCCCGAAACAAAACUAGCCACGGUAAUUUUUUUUUUUUUUUUUUUUUUUUUAUAGAUGGUUGGUGAGUGCGUUUUACGCUCCAUCUCACGCUUGUGUUUAUGGGGAGUGUUUCUCCUCAACCCACCACAAGACUCAACAUGUUUUUUUUUUUAAACUUAUAUACCCCAAAAUUUCCCCCCAAACUUAAGUUUUUAUCAAAAUUUAGCCAUCUCCGCCUAUUCAUGUCUUUCAUUCCUUCACACUAGUAUUAUACUUAAGAAAUCCAUUAUGUAUCAAUUUAAACUUAAUCAGUUAACAUAGCUGUUAUUAACGUGCUAACCUUGAUUAUACCAGUUUCAAACAGGAAAAGAUUCAAUUCAUAACAAGAAAUCACAUCAAAGCCUGAAUAUUCAAUACUAUACUUAUCUACUUAACUCCAGUCUCAUCAUUGGCCAAAAUAGACUUUUACUAUCUAACAGUUGGAAUCAUGCAAAUAUAAACUAACUGCAACAAACAUAGUAAACUAACUACUAUUUUUGCGAUUUUUAAAUUUUUUUUUUUAAAAAAAAAAAAAAAAAAAAAACGAAUGCAACAACUAAAUGUAAAUAACCCGAAAACAUAACGAACUACAAUGUAAAUAACUAACUAUAUGCAAUACGACACUAAAAUGCCCCCAAACUUAAACUAGACAUUGUCCUCAAUGACUGAAAUAGAAAAAAUUAAAGCAGAGGACUUCCCUGAAAAUAUAGCAAUCUUCCUCCUUGCCCGCUAAGUUUGGAGAAUAGGCUAAGCACAUGGAACAAAUUGGGCACCACACUUGAAUUUGACUUGAAUAACCUGUAAAACCAUGAUAGAAGCAAUUUUAUUAAAUCCUAAAUAAAUGCAAAUUCAAAACUACUAAUAUAAAACUUAAUAAAAACUAAAAAUAAAAAUUAAACUUGGGUUGCCUCCCAAUAAGCGCUUGUUUUAUAGUCUCAGCCUGACUUCUUCAAUUCUCUAUCCAAUUCCCCUACGAAAGUUGAGGAACCCUCCAUCCAUCGGAAAUAAUAUAGCUUUUGGUAGGUUCCCAUUUACGAUAGCCAUUGUAUUAAAGUCACCUAGCAUGCUUUCUUUAGAUAAGAUCACAUUCAAGAACGUCCAGCAUCUAGGUGGUUUCUCCAUUGUGUCUGCGAAUAUAUUCUGGUAUUGAAGCUUGUCAGACACAACAGUUUCUUCUUCUAUCUUCUCCAGCUCAUCGCACCAUGGUUUCGAAGGUGUACUUGCUUUUACAUCACAGAGAGUAUUGCCGACGACAUGACUACCAAUCGGACAAGGUUUUGCAAAUCUAACCGGACUCUUGAACUGUGGAGGAGAAGGCACUUGAGGCAUAAAUAACAUUGGCUCAUCAUCAUUGGUUCUCACAAUUAGUUCUUCACCGACCUUGUUGUCAUUAUCCCCACUUGUCUCCUCUUUUUCAUCUCGUGGCUCAUCCGGUUGUAGAUUUGGCUCGGGCUCACCAUCGGGCUCGGAAUCCAUGUCAUAGGGCCAAGUGUAUUGAGGACGAUUGUUCAACGCAUGUGCUAUCUGUUCCACUUGAUUUUCUAAAUUCUUGAUCAACGCCCCUUGGCAUUGCAAAUUCAGCUCUACUUGAUUCAUUUUCUUGUCUUGUUCCUCAUUCCUUUUUUCAGAAGCUUUAAUAAAUUUUUCCAAGGCUUCCUCCCAAUUUGAAUGUUCUUCCUGUUGUAGUGGAGGUGGACACAAGAAAUCCUGUGGGUAUGUUGGACUUGGAGCAUAAAAUUGAUCUUGAUUGUUACUCCAUGAAAAAUCCGGGUGAUACCCCCAAUCCUGAUGAUAGUUGUUGGGAUAGACAUAAUUAUUGGGGUAAUCACCACUAUACUGUACCGGCUCGAAACUGAUGGUGCAUUGAUGACUCAUAUGAUUUCCAGCACAAUAAUCACAAGUAACCACCAUACUUUGACGACGCUGAGCUUCAAAAGCUUCAAACAUCCUCGAAAGUGUCUCAAUCUGUGCUGACAAUGCAGAAAGUUUCUCGAGUCUUUCAAUCUCCACUCCCCUUGGUUGAGUCAUGUUCGUGUAUGGCCAUUGAUACACAAAGUCAUCCAUGGUACCUGAAAAGAGAGAAAUAUAGAAAGAGAAUUAAAAAUAAAAAUAAAAAUGUUUAAAUUAAGACUAAUUUGAUUGAAAUUAAUAUUGGUAAAUAAUUAUUAAAUUAAUUCCCCGGCAACGGCGCCAAAAACUUGUUGAUCGAUUUCGCAAUCAAUGAAUACGUGCAAGUAUACACGGUCAACAAGUAAUAAAGUGAAAGUAGAGUAUCGUUCCCACGAGGAAUUAUUUAAUAAAAAUCACCAAGUACUAAUUCUUAACCAAACUAAUUUUAUUUAAACAAUCUCAAAUCGUGUUUUUUCUAAUUAAGAAAACUAAAUUAACUAAUUAAAACUAAGAUUUUAACGAAUGAAUUCAAAUAAAUAAAGAUUAAGACUUCAAUAUCCCCAAUUAUGAAUUAUAAAUCAAUUAUCCAAUUAUCCCAAUUAUUAUGCCUACUGAAUUGUUAACAGGAAUUCUCAAAUGCCAAAAGUCCUUUUCCAAGUGAUCAAUUGCCUUCUAUUUAAUCCAGAUUAAUCUUGCUAUAUUCCUAUGCAAAACAAUUGAAUUAAACUCUUUCCAAUCCCAAUUCCUUACGUGUUACAUGCGGCGAACAGAUAUUUCCAUUCAAUUCACAAACCUAAUUUUUCACCAUGCAAAUAACUAAGUCACAUGAUAUCAUGCCCAGUUCUAACCCUAGAAUUCCUCUUCCAAUUCCUUCUAGAGUAACAAAGUAAUUACUGAUCAAAUAAUUAAGCAAUAAGCACAAGACAAGAUAAACAACUCACUUUAACAUAAAUAAUUAGAAUAUAAUGAAUAACUAAUUCAUAGCCAUAAAAAGUUCAAUUGAAAUCUCAAAAAUAGUUAGUUCAUAAUUAAUGAAUUAAAACCAAGAAUCCACAACUGAAUAGACAUCAAAAGAUAAAAGUAAGAUGAGAGAAGAGAAUAGAAUCUGUUGUCAGCAAAUCUGAUGCUCCCCUCUUGCUCUUGCUCUUGAUCUUCAAUGGUCUCCAAGUUGCUUCAAUCUCCAAAACUAAUAAGAACUAGGGUUAUUUUCUAAUCUAAAGGAGUGUUUAAUCUAGGCUAAGCUAUGUAAUCUCCCUUUAUUUUAUGCCUUACAUCAUGUAUUUAUAGGUUACAAGUCCAAUUUUUAGCUUAGGAACAAACCCAAUCCUAUUUGGAGUCAAAAAGGUGUCAAAAUUCGCCCAAAAUCGCGUCCAAACCUUCCCAGUCUCUUCCCCAGCGCCCCAGCGCUGGGCACGGCGCUGGGAAUCUGCCUUAUAGCGCCCCGGCGCUAGAAAAUGAACUAGAAAUAGCGCCCCAGCGCUGGCCGAAAAUCUGACAUUUUCUGCUCCGACGUCCUUUGGGAAAAUGGCCAUAACUUCUUCGUCCGAACUCCGAUUUUGAUGAUUCAAGAUGUUCCGGAAAGAGGAGAAGUAGAUCUACAACUUUCAUUCUUGUAGUUUGUCGAAAUAAUGUCAGGAGCUAUAGUCAAAUUGUCUCCGAAGUGUCUGCUGUGUAAAUAGCAAGCCGAAAACGCGAAUCUAGCCACCCCAAACAUCGAUCCAUGUAACUUUUGUCCCAAUUCCUAUAAAAUAACAUAAAACAUUCAUGAAUAGAUACAAACACAUAAAAACAUCCUAAAAGACUUAAGAACAACAAUAAAUUAAGCCCGAAUGUGUCCAAUUCAUGGGUAUAAAACUCACUCAUCAUGGUCUAAUAACCCACAGACAAAACACCCCUGGUUCUUCUUAGGGUUAGGACAGUUAGGUGACAAAUGCCCCUCCUGCCCACAGUUGUAGCAGACUGAUUUCCCCUUUAAACAGACUCCCAUGUGAGUUUUUUCGCAUGUCUUGCAUGCCUCCGUCCUCCGCUUAGGAUCUCCCUGCUUUACCCCUGUAUUCCCAAGGUUGAGGCUCUUCCUCUUAGGCUAGUUGCCGCUUCCGCUGGCAACUUCAGCCUUACUAUCUCCUUCUAACUUACCCUUGUUCUUUCGCUCUUUGUGGUACUGAGACAAUGCUUCACCACCACCUUCAGCUUUUAUCGCCUUUUCCAGAAUGGUCCCAUAGGAAACAGUCUGAAAAAGCGAUAUUCUACUAUAGAGCCAGGGUUUUAAGCCCUGCUCAAACCUGCGCGCCUUCCUCUCUUCCGUGUCCACCUGAUGUAGAGAAAACCUCGUCAAUUCAUUGAAUUUGGCGGCAUACUGGGGAACUGUCAUAUCCCCUUACUUAAGUUAUAAGAACUUAAUAUCCAUCCUACCUUGCAUACUAGUAGGGAAGUAGUUUUCGAAAAACACCUUCUUAAACUGUUCCCAAGUAGCUGCUUCUGUUCUAGCCCCACCCUGGUGUGCCUCCCACCAGUAGUUGGCUUCCCCCUUCAUCAUGUAAGUCGCAAAAGAAGUCUUUUGCGCCUCACCUACGUUUGUAAUCACAAACGCCUUCUCAAUCUCUUUCACCCAUGUCUGGGCCUUUAAAGGGUCCGUCGUUCCUCGGAACUCCGGAGGACCCACACUUUUAAACUCCUUAAAGUUAGUUGUUCUUGCUACCCUAGGUGUUACAGGAAUCCCUCCCCCAACUUGGUUAAAUGUUGCCGUUAAUAAAUUAACGAACUAUUGCAUAGGGUUAUUAGGACCCCCCUGAUUCUCAUUAUGAGACUCGACAUCUUGGUUACAUUGUCUCCUUCUUGGCGGCAUAAUUCUAAUUAAAUAAAUAAGGUUUCGUUAUUAUCUAUUCAAUUUCUUGGUUAUCAUUCUCAAAUAACCACUCAUACCACAACAAGCACAUUUAAAUAAAAAAUUCAUUAUAUUAAUAUGCUUUCAUAGUCAAAACUAUUUACAUCAUGUUCCCUUAGCCAAAAAGCUAUUAUAUACUAUCCUGCGAUUGACUUCUACAAAAAUUGGGAUUUACAAAAAGACUACCCUUUAAUUAUACAAAAGAGGGUUUUACGUCACUACUUAUAUACAAAAAGAUCUAAUGAUUUACUAACACUGUCGAACGACAUUCUCAUAUUUCUGAUUUGCCAGUAUCGACACAAUAUUUAGACUUAUGGUGUGUCGAGUCUGCCCGGACUCAAUGGAAUAACAAGCAAUUUUCAACUUGAAAUCCUCAUAAACGCACUCGUGGAUGUAUGACAUCCUAGCUAUUUUGUUGUCUUUCUCGACCAGUUUCUUUCGAAGCUCAACGGCCUCUUCCUUAUUCUACUGUGCCUUAUCCAUCAUAAGCACUUUUUCAUCGUGCUCUGACUCAAAAUUUGCCUCUGUAGAUUCCUUCGCCUCAUAUAGGGCGGUUAUCUCCUCAUUCUAUGUCUGCACUACAGUACGCAGAUGCACAUUCUUGUCCAACACUGCCAGAUACAAUGAUCUCAUUGCAUCCGGAUGUGUUGGCUCCUGAGUAGGUAUCACCGUGUUAAUCGAUGUUACCUCCAUCUCCUCUUCCACGUCAAUCAUCAUAUUAAGAUAUGACACUAUUCCCAUUGUUUCCUCAGAGUAUUCCUCCUUAAAGAUGUAAUCUUCUAUAUCCGAGUCUUCGAGAACCACUAACGGUACCUCCUCCACUGGCAUUGGUAAUAUCUCCACUUGGUUCACUGACUCCUCACUUAUCACUUCAAUGUCUCUAAACAUCAAGCUAUCGUUUGACAUCUACAAAACACAUAACACGUUGAUUAGUACAUAAUACACAAUAGUAUAAGCACAAAUCACAUUUAAUUUAUUUAAGAUUAAUUUCCAUCUUUUAAAUCUUUCGGUACUGAGUUAUCUCAAUACCUUGUUAAUUCAAUUGACUUGAAUUUUAUUCUUCGGACUUUACCUUCCUUAUGAGGUUAUUAGCCUAAGGUUUUCCCCCUUAAGUUUUAUAACCUAAUGCUUUGAUACCAAACUGUGACGCCCCCAAAUUCGGGUAUCUUCCAACCCAACAUAUGGUGCUACACUGUAAUCAUAACCAUACAAUCAUUCCAUUGAAAUACAACAAAAUGAAUGUAAUUACUAUCUUCUUAUUAUAAUUAAAGUAUAAUCCUUCCCAGGUUCAUAAACCGAUUACAUCAUUGGUUGUUCAUAAUGUGUAAUACAUACAAACAUACUAAUUUAUUACACGAUGGUAAGGUAUCCAUCUUAGCCUUGCCCUUAUCUCUCUUAGCAUUCUCAGUACGUUCAUCCUUAACUGCAAUCAUAUAAUUCACGCAAGAAAUGAGCAUAACAAGCUCAGCAAGUUUAUACAAGGAUAACAGUAAUACCACAUUUGUGAAUUAUAUAACAAUUCAUACAUAACUGAACAAAUAGUUAUAAAGUAUUAUGAAACAAUAAUACUUUAACAUUCCAUAACAUCAAUUCCCAAAGUAUAGAGUAGAUAAGGAAUUCUGAACCGGUCAAUAGACCAUUAACAAUAGCUUUCUGUUUUCAUACUUGAAAAGGAUAUCACAACACUAAGGCUGUACAUCCGCAUUACUUACGCGCACUUCUAGGUGAUCAGCCUAUAGUACUCUAUGUUGAUCAAUACUCAUUCGUUAAACGUAUUUACGUUUACCAUUUUGGCAAACUCGCGUGCCCAUCGAAUAAUCGAUGAAAAAUACUUUUGUUUGUUCAUAGACAAACCUUACCUUCAAAUCCGUACCAAUUACUUGGCAUAAGAUAGCAUUAACAUUUCUAUAUAGAAAGAUAUGAAUAUCAAUCAAUCUAUAUCUUACGAGUAGUCUAGCCGAGUUAAAUUUGGCAUUGACCCUUUCUUUAAAACCCGUCGUGAAAUUCAGUACAUUGAAUCAUAUAAAACUUGACUAACUUGAAGGUUAGACAAGCGUUAAGAAAACUUUCCUUUAAACGUCUUCAAAUAACUUAAUCGACUGACCACAACCUUUACAGAAUCUACAUGAUAUAUUCACAUAACACAUUGUAAUUAGCUAUCAAACAAUUAUUCACAUUGUUCCUACUAACUUCUUUUUCUUCUAUGUCUUUGUUAAUUUAAUAUCAUUACUAAAGUCAAUUCGACUUAAUACCCUUCGUCCCGGCUUAUUAACUAACUUACAUUAUUAACUGGACUCUAUCAUCAUUGGCAAAGUACCAACGUUGUUUCCCGACUAGGGUUCAUUGAUAACACUUUGUGUUCUUCAUUCAUAACUUACUAACAUGCAUUUAAUUCCUAAGUUUCGACACCAUAUACCUUAGUAUAGGUAGUAUAGGAAUAGUUUUAGUACACUUUUGAGACGCAUAAACUUUACUCUUCUAGGUCUCUGAACAAUUGCAGUUCAAACCUAUGUCAUUCAACAAUUACCUUGCACCAACUCCAGUACAAGACUGGCGCUGCGGCGCCAGUUAGCAGUACCCAGGUCCCGAUCUCAGCGCUGCGGUGUGAGACUUCAUUCUAUUAGUGGCGUUGCAACGCAACUUUCAAAUAGUCAAUUACACUGUGCUGGCGCUGCGGUGCGGCACUUUAAAGCACUGUCUGGCGCCGCGACGCCAAACCUCAACACCAAAAAAUUUUUAACAGAUAAAAUUUUGGUGAGAUUCUCGGAGCCAUAACUUCUUCGUUAUAAGUCCGAUUUGGUCCGUUCAAAAGCCUACACGUCAUAAAUGACAUACUCUAUGCGCUCAUAUAAGAAUUUGACACUUUCAAAUCCUUUAACUCAAAAUUUCCUAUUGAGUUGAUUUUCUAAGCGUUCGUAAACGUUAAUGAGCGUUCAAUGCUCGUUUUCUUCGUUUUAAGUCGGAAUCCGACGAUUCUUUAGUCCACGACUCUUAAAUACCAUAACUCACGUGUUGACAUUGAAAAACAACAUUUUUAAGUCUCACGGUAACUUUCGACUACCAAUCUGGAAUUUUAACGUUUUCGACGUUUAACAUCUAUUUCCGUGAAAUUUGCCAUAACUUCGUUACUAAUGUUCUCUAAGCCAAAUCACAUGGAAUACUCCAUUAUCUUCAUAUCUACAUCCUAACCAAGCAAUAUGCACAUAUUUAAGUAUUGAUGGAGUUCAAUUGUUUAUCAACAAUCAAUCUCAGCAAUCAAUAUUUUCAUGAUUUUAAGCUAUAUCAAUCCUUAUGAUUUCUAUGAUUUCAUAACUUAUAGAGAUUGAAUCUAUAACAAGUCAUCCUUAUUCCACCAUACUAGAGAUACACCACCCAUUUAUGAUUCUCCAUACUAAAAGAAAACAAAAAGAGAUGGAAUUAGAAUUAAGGAGUAUUACCUUAAGAACUCUUAGGUAGUCUUGAAAAAC